GAGUGAGGGAAUGGGUGACUAGUGGCAGAGUGAGGGAGGGAAGGGGUGACUAGUGACAGAGUGAGGGGAUGACUGGUGACAGAGUGGGGGGGGGGGUGACUGUCACUAGUCACCCCAUCCCUCUCUCUGUCACUAGUUACUCCCUCCCUAACUCUGUCACUAAUCACCCCCUCUCUCCCUAGUCACCCCCUUCCUCACUCUGUCACUAGUCACCCCAUCCUUCUCUCUGUCACUAGUCACUCCCUCCCUAACUC